rnacentral:rRNA from 1 species
GCGGACGGCUCAGUAACACGUAGUCAACCUAACUCGUGGACGUGGAUAACCUCGGGAAACUGAGAAUAAACCACGAUAGAUCAUAGUGCCUGGAAUGGCUUAUGGUCCAAACAGUUUACUGCCAUGGGAUGGGACUGCGGCCUAUCAGCUUGUUGGUGAGGUAAUGGCCCACCAAGGCGAUUACAGGUACGGGCUCUGAGAGGAGAAGCCCGGAGAUGGGUACUGAGACACGGACCCAGGCCCUAUGGGGCGCAGCAGGCGAGAAACCUUAGCAAUGUGCGAAAGCACGACUGGGUCAGUCCGAGUGAUUCCUGAUAAAGGAGUCUUUUGCUUGUCCUAAAAGCACAGGUGAAUAAGGGGUGGGCAAGUCUGGUGUCAGCCGCCGCGGUAAUACCAGCACCUCGAGUGGUCAGGACGUUUAUUGGGCCUAAAGCAUCCGUAGCCGGCUUUGCAAGUCUUCGGUUAAAUCCACCUGCUCAACAGAUGGGCCGCUGGAGAUACUACAGAGCUAGGGAGUGGGAGAGGCAGACGGUAUUCAGUGGGUAGGGGUAAAAUCCUCUGAUCCAUUGAGGACCACCAGUGGCGAAGGCGGUCUGCCAGAACACGUUCGACGGUGAGGGAUGAAAGCUGGGGGAGCAAACCGGAUUAGAUACCCCGGGUAGUCCCAGCUGUAACGAUGCAAACUCGGUGAUGCAUUGGCUUAUGGCCA